rnacentral:rRNA from 1 species
GCGAGAAAACUUUGCAAUGUGCGAAAGCACGACAAGGUUAAUCCGAGUGUUUUCUGCUAAAGAAAUCUUUUGUCAGUCCUAAAAACACUGAUGAAUAAGGGGUGGGCAAGUUCUGGUGUCAGCCGCCGCGGUAAAACCAGCACCUCAAGUGGUCAGGAGGAUUAUUGGGCCUAAAGCAUCCGUAGCCGGCCGUGUAAGUUUUCGGUUAAAUCUAUAUGCUCAACAUAUAGGCUGCCGGGAAUACUGCACAGCUAGGGAGUGGGAGAGGUAGACGGUACUCGGUAGGAAGGGGUAAAAUCCUUUGAUCUAUUGAUGACCACCUGUGGCGAAGGCGGUCUACUAGAACACGUCCGACGGUGAGGGAUGAAAGCUGGGGGAGCAAACCGGAUUAGAUACCCCCGUAGUCC